AUGCGGGAGGUGGGCAGGAUUCAGGCACCGAUGCCCACCCAGUGCCAGAUGACGGGGCCCCAGAGCGAGGGAGGAGGAGAGGCCGCAGGUGAACGGAGGGGCUUGUCCAGGCCGGCAGCAUCACCGGAGCCCAGGGCAGGGUCAGCAGUGCUGGCCGUGGGGCCCUCUUCUCAGCCAGGACCAAGGACAGCAGCCUCCACCAAGGGCCCAUCGGUCUUCCCCCUGGCGCCCUCCUCCAGGAGCACCUCCGAGAGCACAGCGGCUCUGGGCUGCCUGGUCAAGGACUACUUCCCCGAACCCGUGACCGUGUCGUGGAACUCAGGCGCCCUGACCAGCGGCGUGCACACCUUCCCGGCUGUCCUACAGUCCUCAGGGCUCUACUCCCUCAGCAGCGUGGUGACCGUGCCCUCCAGCAGCUUGGGCACCCAGACCUACGUCUGCAACGUAAACCACAAGCCCAGCAACACCAAGGUGGACAAGAAAGUUGAGAUCAAAACAUGUGGUGGUGGCAGCAAACCUCCCACGUGCCCACCGUGCCCAGCACCUGAACUCCUGGGGGGACCGUCAGUCUUCCUCUUCCCCCCAAAACCCAAGGACACCCUCAUGAUCUCCCGGACCCCUGAGGUCACAUGCGUGGUGGUAGACGUGAACCAGGAAGACCCCGAUGUCAAGUUCAACUGGUACGUAAACGGCGCAGAGGUGCAUCAUGCCCAGACGAAGCCACGGGAGACGCAGUACAACAGCACAUAUCGUGUGGUCAGCGUCCUCACCGUCACGCACCAGGACUGGCUGAACGGCAAGGAGUACACGUGCAAGGUCUCCAACAAAGCCCUCCCGGCCCCCAUCCAGAAAACCAUCUCCAAAACCAAAGGGCAGCCCCGAGAGCCGCAGGUGUACACCCUGCCCCCGUCCCGGGAGGAGCUGACCAAGAACCAGGUCAGCCUGACCUGCCUGGUCAAAGGCUUCUACCCCAGCGACAUUGUCGUGGAGUGGGAGAGCAGUGGGCAGCCGGAGAACACCUACAAGACCACGCCGCCCGUGCUGGACUCCGACGGCUCCUACUUCCUCUACAGCAAGCUCACCGUGGACAAGAGCAGGUGGCAGCAGGGGAACGUCUUCUCAUGCUCCGUGAUGCAUGAGGCUCUGCACAACCACUACACCCAGAAGAGCCUCUCCGUGUCUCCGGGUAAAUGAGUGCGACACCCGGCAAGCCCCCGCCCCCCGGGCUCUCGGGGUGGCGCGAGGAUGCUUGGCCCGCACCCCGUGUACAUACUUCCCAGGCGCCCGGCAUGGAAAUAAAGCACCCAGCGCUGCCCUGGGCCCCUGCGA